UUGGUGAAAUGGUUAACACACAUGCCUUUCACGCAUGCAUUUAUGGGUUCGAACCCCGUA
rnacentral:tRNA from 1 species